CCUACGGGAGGCAGCAGUGGGGAAUAUUGCACAAUGGGGGAAACCCUGAUGCAGCGACGCCGCGUGAGUGAAGAAGUAUCUCGGUACGUAAAGCUCUAUCUGCAGGGAAGAAAAUGACGGUACCUGACUACGAAUCCCCGGCUAACUACGGGCCAGCAGCCGCGGUCAUACGUAGGGGGCAAGCGUUAUCCGGAUUUACUGGGUGUAAAGGGAGCGUAGACGGCAGCACAAGUCUGGAGUGAAAGCCCGGGGCUUAACCCCGGAACUGCUGUGGAAACUGGGCGGCUGGAGUGCAGGAGGGGUAAGCGGAAUUCCUAGUGGAGCGGUGAAAUGCGUAGAUAUUAGGAGGAACACCGGUUGCGAAGGCGGCUUACUGGACUGUAACUGACGUUGAGGCUCGAAAGCGUGGGGAGCAAACAGGAUUAGAUACCCGAGUAGUC
rnacentral:rRNA from 1 species